rnacentral:tRNA from 1 species
UGCGAGAUCGUCUAAUGGUAGGACGUCUGGCUCUGAACCAGGAAAUGGGGGUUCGAAUCCUUCUCUCGCAA